UACGAAGGGGGGCUAGCGUUGUUCGGAAUUACUGGGCGUAAAGAGCUCGUAGGCGGUUUGUCGCGUCUGCUGUGAAAACCCGAGGCUCAACCUCGGGCCUGCAGUGGGUACGGGGCAGACUAGAGUGCGGUAGGGGGAGAUUGGAAUUCCUGGUGUAGCGGUGGAAUGCGCAGAUAUCAGGAGGAACACCAAUGGCGAAGGCAGAUCUCUGGGCCGUAACUGACGCUGAGGAGCGAAAGCAUGGGGAGCGAACAGG
rnacentral:rRNA from 1 species